GGUUUGUGAAAACAAAACCUCUCCUCCAUCCCAUCUCAGCCGAGAAGUGUUUCCAGAAAUUUCAGAAGAUGUACCAUUGCGAGGGUCAGCUGCCAUGGGAGAGGCUUCAGAUUAAAUCAACUGGUGAAUGGUUUAAUUGGUCUGUUAUCUAAGGCUUCUGAUCAUUUGCUUUGUACAAAUGCAUUUUAACAGUUUGCUGUGCUGUAAGCAUCUCAUAGCUGCUACUAUUGAGAACCUUGUUUUAGAAAUUAGUUAAGAGGCAUCUUUCCAGUUUAAAGCCUAAGACCCUGGCCAAGCCUUGACUUUACCUGGAUGGAAUGUUUGCCAGCAGAUCCAGAUGUUUUCUGUACCAAAUCAGUAUUUGAGUCACUUUUUAACUCAGCAAUUUGGCCCUAUUAAUAUGACAGCUGGAUCAAUUUUGAAGUGGGCUUGGAGAAUCAUUUUUGGAGGUGGUUAUCCUAUCCUUCACUGAUUUUUUUUUUGUUUCUGUUUGUUUGUAAACUAUGGGAUGCUGGUGCAGUGUUUUAGUAGUUUAUUUAGAGUUUUAGUAAAACUCUGAAAUAGUAGUUUUAUAUUACAUAUGUUAUUAAUAAUGUUUAAGAUUUAAUUGAUUUUUAACUGCUAUAAGUUCUUAUUCAUUGUGUAUAUGGUUUUGUGUUGAUGUUGAUGUGUAUGACAGAAGUACAUCUCAUUUUUUUAUUUUUUUUUUAAAUGGGGGAAAUUGAUGCCCUAAAAGCAUUUGAUUAGUGUAAUUCAUUAACUUCAAGGGGAGAAGUGCCUGUGUUUUGUUCACAGGUUCAAAAAGGUCACCUGUCCACCUGACCAGACUGUGUGCCUCUGAACACACGAGAUCCAGUGAACAGAGAAGUCACCACACAGCCUUGGUACUCUAGACAUGGAUCAGAAGCUGUCAGGAUCAUGGAGCUGUCAGGACACAGUUGUGUCUGAACACUACACAGACAGUUUGCCAACAGAAAUUUUAUGUUGUUAUUAUGAUGUUGUGUCUCUACCAUUUUUUUUCAGUUAUCUUUUGUUUUAAGAUUUAGAAGGAUGUGAAGAACAACCUAAACAUCAAAGCCCUCAGUCACUGAUCAGCUUCCAGCUGACAUCACGGGAGCAGUGAACAUUCCAAGACUGAAUCGUGUUAAAUCAUAGUCUGUUUGUGAGGGAAAUUCUGCAGAAGAUUUAAAAGAGUGUAGAGACUCCAUCUAAUUGUAUAUAAAGCAGACUGUAGUUGUGUGUUUAUCCUUUCAGCAAAUUGCAUUCACACUUAGACUACAUAUAUACCAGAGCACAUGUGUUAAAAGUAGUUAGCUAAUAGUUUAAGAUAGAGUUUAGCCUGUAUAGCAAUUGUUAUAUUAGUAUAAAGUAUAAGCAUUCCCCCCCCUCUUCAAGAGCUAGUGUAAGCAUCUUUGAAAGUUCAUUUAACGUUAAAGUUUUAGCUGUGAGUCUGCAAGUAUGGUGUCAUUUCCAUGGUAAACUGCUUAUAGUAAUUUUGCUAUGUAUAGUCGUGACUGUCUGCUAACUAACAUCCAAAAGCGACAGAACAUAUGGGUCACUCUGGCACAUUGAACUGGCCAAAGGUCAAUGUGUUUGAGCCUAGCCACACCUGGAGAACCUUUCGCACCUGUCUUGUAGGAGUCCCCGAAUGGGAUCCUCCAGCAUUUAAAGGUUUAGUUAGUAAUGAGACUCGACUGAAUCGAUUGGCAGUGUUGCAAGAGUGCAGUUGCACUGCUGGCUUCACAUUAAGGCAACUUGAAGCCUGUUGGCAAGCAAAAAUUACCGAAGUUCUUAAUAUUACCAUAGGGCCCCAGAAGAAUUGGACUUGUUAGGUUCCACCAAUACCUCAGGUGGAUGGAUAAUGUUUGAGCUCCUGACAAAAAGCCAUUCCAACAAAGUAAUGCAACACUGGGCUGCAGUCAACCCUAUAGCUGAUCUCAUUACUCACACUGAAAGUAAAGCCUUUAUUCGUAGUACAAUCUCACAGGACAAUUACCAAAGCGAUUACCUAGUUCAAUCUUCCUCAUCUGUGGAGAUAGAGCAUGGAAUGGGAUUCCUGCUAAUCCACAUAGAGGAAGGACCCUGUUAUCUUGGGAAACUUAUUUUGUUCCAUCCAAGCUUACAUCAAUUGCUGAAUGUAGCUGAUAAAAUAAAAAACAUCUAACAGUCAAAGCAAAGCCUGAAUUAAUUACAAUGUAAUUAUGUUAGAGACCCAGAAAAGAUUAGCAAUUCAAAAGGGGCUCACUUGUUAGACUAAGAAAGAAUUGAACUUAACAUCCACAAUGUUAAGUGAACUUUCAGCCGAUGUGAGUAGUGUACGGCAUGGAGUAUUACAAAAUCGAGCUGCAAUUGACUUUUUGCUCUUAGCACAAGGACAUGGUUGUGGGGAGUUUGAAGGCAUGUGCUGCUUGGAUCUUACUGAUCAUUCAGUUUCCAUCCAUAAACAACUACAACAGCUACAGGAUGGGUUACAUGCCCUGAAAGAAGAUAGUGACCUCAAUAGAAGUUGGUUCGCCAGCUGGGGCAUCACUGGAUGGUUGAAGUCUCUUGUGCUAGAAGGGGGAUGGACUUUACUUAUAGUGUUAAUUGAGAUAACAGUUUUAAGUUGUAUGUUAUGUUGUCUCCAUAAAAGUAUAGAAUGGGUUACAUCCAAAGCCUGGUUUGUGCAAAAAGAGAAAGGGGGAAUUGUUGAUAUAUUUUAUAUAUUAGUAAUGGCCUGUCUGCACAAAACAGCCUUUGGAAUAAGUUGUGAUAUUAAAGGCUAAAGUCCUUGAAAACUUCCUGCAGAAGAGAGAGUAAAGCAAAACGAUAUCCUUGUGUACAGGAGAAAAAUUGUAAACCUGUGUGUAUUAGCCAAUGGUAACUUGCUUAGCCCGCGAACCCUGUAGAACCCUAUAAAAGGUGUGCUAAAGAUAGAAAUAAAUGGUGUUCAUGUUUACUUCUGUGAAGAGUUGUGAAUAGCUGGUGGUCUCUCAAUACAUACAUAAAUGUGAAUAUAAUUUUUAGUUGUGAAUUGGAUUGGUGUACUAGACUAGUUUUUCACACAAAUAUGAUGAAGAAUUACAAGCACAGGAGGAGACUGUAUCUUCUUUAUUUGUACUAUGGUAAGAGUCUCAAUGAAUAGUAUAUGAUAUAAUAUCAAAAUAAUACACAUUAAUAAUAUCUUAACAAUUAGUGUCUUAAUAGUAAUCAUUAUCUUCAUUUGAGAUAAUAGGAAACUCAGAAGAUUUUUAGGACCAACAUUCCACUAAAAUACCUGAUACAGUAUUCUAUUACUGUUUCUAAAAUAAAAAUUACACAGUGAUUACCUAUUGAUUGAUUUGGAAUCCUACAAAUAGGCAAUUUUUUUACUAAGUAAAUUACUAAAUUUACUGCAAGGAUUCAAAAACAGAGUCUAGAUUGAUUUUAAUACUCAGUUGCCCUAGAGUUUCAGAAAAUGUAUGAAAAUAGAAGAAGAAUGAAUAUGAUAAUCCAUGGAGUUAUGGAGAUUGGUAAGCAACCAGCUCCAGUACUAACACAAGAGGGUAGAAAUAAACACAAAGCAGGAAGUGGUGAGCCAGUUACUCUGUGCCAUACAACUGUAUGAGAGAAGCAUGACAUAAAUGAAAUUUUAAAAAAUAUAAAAACCUGUCUGGUGAACAGAUGCAUGUCUUGUGUAUGUCUCUUGUGCUUUUUUAAUGUCUUUUCACAGCUCAUUUACUCAUUAAUAUAAAACUAAUGUGAUAUAGAUAGCACAUGACUGAAAUUAGCAUUAAUAUAAUGUUGGUUUUUGCAGAAUGGCCUACCAAGGAUUUUGCUGUUUCCAAAGUGUUAUAAAUCUGUAUUGUGAUAUUGGCUUUCGCAAGUAAGAGGAUGAAUAUUAUAUGUUAAAUGCUUUUUGGCUAUGUAUGUACUUUUUUUCUUGCUAACAAGUUUUAAGCUUAAAGGAAUCUCCUAGUACAAAGCAAGGAAACCCCAGAGGGCAAAGACAGUGGGGCCCAAGCUGUUAUCAGCGGAAGAACAAUAAAGGCCAAGCUGUUAUCAGCAGCCAGGACCAGGCCAGUGGCAGCAGCGGAAGGAUGUGCUGUGAAGCCCAGCUGUCACCAGGGCAGGACGAGGGGCCCAGACUGUUACCAACACUGACCAUUUGCAGAAGAAAGGAAACCAAACUCAAAAUAAUGCUGAUCAGCAAGAAUAAUGAUGACCAGCAAAAAUAAUGCUGAACAGCAGAAAUAAAAACCAUACAGAGCAUGUUCUAAAUAGGCGGAACCAGGGAGGGGACAUGCUAAAUACUUCUUGAAAAAGUUUGAAUAUGCAUUAAACCCUCACAGCAGGAGGGGAUAAAAAGAGUGCUCCCAAGAUACCAGGUGUGUUCCUGGCAACGCUUCAGGGCACCCGUCCAUUUUAACCCUUUCCUUUAUUUCCUUUGUCUCCUAAUUGUCUUUUGUUUGUUUGUUUGUUUAUAUUAAACUUUUUAUAUUUUAUUAAGUGAA